rnacentral:rRNA from 4 species
UUGAGUCUCCUGAAGGAACGUUAAAGACGAUGACGUUGAUAGGCCGGGUGUGUAAGCGCAGCGAUGCGUUGAGCUAACCGGUACUAAUGAACCGUGAGGCUUAACCUU